AGCGAUUAGCAUAUUCAUCAAAGUAAACAAUUCGAACUAACUUCGGUUCAUUACAAGUGGUUUCCACAAGAAGUAAUGUUUUAAGUAAUAACUGAUCAACUGUUUAAGAAAAUACUUAAAGGUAAAUGUUUUCUGGACAUGUAUAUCAGAUUAGGAAAAAAUAUACCGCCACCUAUAACGGUGCAUAAAAAUAUACCGCCACCUACUGCACGUGAGAGUGUACAAUUAGCCAUAGUCACGAACUGAAUGAGGCUGCCGGAGCACACUCAGGGGGCCAGUCCAAAGCAGCUUGAGGGCCGGAUCUGGCCCGCGGGCCGCCUAUUGAAGAGCCCUGGUCUUGGAGGUCCUAAUUGUAUUGUUGCCAUUUUUUUGUCAUUAGUAUGCCGACCAAAAGGAGUUUCUUGCAAAGAAAGAAUUGAGUUGUUGCACUGAGCACUAGCCAUCUUGACAGAAUGCCUUGGUCGACGCUGUACGUUCUUAUAUGCUUUUACGUCCAUUACUUAUGAAGAAAGCAUGGAGGGGCGAGCCCUCCCGGAAGCCAUAGAGAAUGCAUUGAGAGCCCUGUUUUUGUGAAAAAAGGGAUUUAACAUGGGAGUCAAUGAGGGAGGUCUGGGGCGAUUUCCAUUUCGCCCCAAAUCGCCCAGAAGGGGCGGGGCCAUUUGAAGCACGACUUUUGCAGACAGUCUAGUGGUAGAAUCCGACAGGAAAAAAAUAUCUCCUUUUCCCGUAGGCAGUGCAUCCCCCCAAUCGCCCUUAUGGACAAGCCGCCCUUGCUUGGUAGGAUGGGUCCUUUUUAGUCCUUCCAAGUCGGGUCCUUCAAAAGCUACGCAGGACUCCUUCCUAGCAUUCAGAGAAGUCUGUGUUGACACACUGCCAAAUACUGCUCCUCCUUCCCAGAAAUCCUGUUGUUUCUGUGGUGACACACUGCCAAAUACUGCUCCUCUUUCCCAGAGAUCCUGCUGUUUCUGUGUUGACACACUGCCAAAUACUGCUCCUGCUUCUGUGGUACGUGAAUCAGGUCUGAUCAAACAUUUACUGCUUGAUGGUUGAUCACUAGAUGAAUGAUUUUUCAGAAGAUCCAUUAAUAUAAAUGUAUGAUUUUGUGGCUUUUUCAUAUAUGUGUCCAACCUUCUUGUUAAACCCACAUUGCACAUAUACAGUAUAUUUGACAUUGAAAAACGGUAAUAUUAAAGAAUGUAUAUUUUCAUACUAGAAAUUCUCUUUCACAUUGAUGCAUUAUUCUUAUUUACGCCACAUUAACCUCUCUUGUUAUAUUUGACUAUGCUGUAAUUAAAAAAAGAAUAAAUGAAUAAAGUGUUAUACCAUUCAUUCACCAAACAAUGUAGUCAGUGGAACAGUACUCUUGCUCUGUGCUUCUCUGCUGCCACCUUUUGGCCUGGAGUGCAUCGGAUUGCUCUGUACUCCCCACACAGCUUCGAUAGCUUCCACACACUUUUUCUCUGCUUACACGGGCAUGGCACUUUGACACCAGCCUGCCUACUCAGAAUUAAGGUCCUGUACUGGGUGACAUGUAACGUGCCUAAUAGGCUAGGCUUCAUCACUAUAGGAACACUAAAUCAAACACAGAUAGGAAUGGGCUUCAUCACUACAGGCACACACAAGGUGCACAGAUCAUCUUUAGACUCACACACACACACACACACACUGUUACAAACUCCUGAUUUUCAUUGAGCUGGCCUGUUGUUGUGCUGUCCUGUUGUGUUUCUGUCCCUACCCAGAUGCAGCCUAACGCCAGUCACCUGUGCCAUGAGGUACACCUGGGCCCUUUACCUAUGAAGUCACUUCCUGCCCUGGUGUGAAAGCACAGAGAGAGAAAAAAAGAAAACCAUUAGGUUGUAGGACCUGCCCCCCCGAGCCAACAGCGCCCCAUGCGGGAAUCGAACCCAUGACCUUCUUGCUGUGAGGCAGCAGUGCAAGCACCUGAGCCACCGUGCCACAUCUCUGCAUUGGGUGGCUAUGAACUCAACCCUGAGGAGCCCCUUCUACAAGACACCUACAAGAGGAGGAUGGAUCUUAAUCUGAGCUCAGGUCUCUCUCAGAUAAACUUUAAAAGCUAGGAAAAACUCCUUCCUUGCAUUCAGUGAACAAACAAUGAAACUAUCUAUCGAGUGUGGAGGUGUGCAUCAUUGAAAGUGUCCCACCUUCAAACAUAAGAAAACACAUUAAUAUAAAUAUAUGAUUUUGUGGCUGUGAUUUUGUGUACAACCUUAUUGUUAAACCUACAGGGCAUGUAUAUAUUUGACAUUGAAAAACAGUAAUAUUAAAGAAUGUAUAUUUUCAUACAAGAAAUUCUCUUUUACAUCGAUGUAUUACACUUAUUUACGCCACAUUAACUUCUCUGGUUAUAUUUGACUAAUGAAUUAAUAAAGUGUUCUAACAUUCAUUCACCAAAACAUUUUAGUCAGUUGAACUCUUUCUCUGUGCUUUCCUUCGUGUGGUUGCCACCAGAUAGGAAUGGGCUUCUUACAACACAGACACGCUAAAUCAAACACAGAUAGGAAUGGGCUUCAUCUCUACAGACACACUAAAUCAAACACGGAUAGGAAUGGGCUUCAUACGACACAGACACACUAAAUCAAACACAGAUAGGAAUGGGCUUCAUACAACACAGACACGCUAAAUCAAACACAGAUAGGAAUGGGCUUCAUCUCUACAGACACACUAAAUCAAACACGGAUAGGAAUGGGCUUCAUACAACACAGACACGCUAAAUCAAACACAGAUAGGAAUGGGCUUCAUCACUACAGACACACUAAAUCAAACACGGAUAGGAAUGGGCUUCAUACAACACAGACACGCUAAAUCAAACACAGAUAGGAAUGGGCUUCAUACAACACAUACACGCUAAAUCAAACACAGAUAGGAAUGGGCUUCAUACGACACAGACACACUAAAUCAAACACAGAUAGGAAUGGGCUUCAUACAACACAGACACGCUAAAUCAAACACAGAUAGGAAUGGGCUUCAUACGACACAGACACACUAAAUCAAACACAGAUAGGAAUGGGCUUCAUACAACACAGACACGCUAAAUCAAACACAGAUAGGAAUGGGCUUCUUACUACACAGACAUACUAAAUCAAACACAGAUAGGAAUGGGCUUCUUACUACACAGACAUACUAAAUCAAACACAGAUAGGAAUGGGCUUCUUACUACACAGACUCGCUAAAUGAAACACAGAUAGGUUAGGCUACAUCACUACAGACACACUAAAUCAAACACAGAUAGGAAUGGGCUUCAUCACUACAGACACACUAAGGAUCCAUUUUAGGGCCCUUACUUUUCAGUCUAUACAUGCUACCCCUUCGUGGUGUCAUUAGGAAGCAUAACAUCAACUAUCAUAGUUAUGCAGAUGACACCCAGCUCUACAGGUAUAUCACUACAGGCAUACACAAGGGGCACAGAUCAUCUUCAGAAUCAUACGCAAAAACAAACCAUACACACACACACACUGUUACGAACCUCAGAUUUUCUUU
ensembl:lncRNA